CAGUAGCCACGGGAAUACGGAGGAUCCAAGCGUUAUCCGGAAUCAUUGGGUUUAAAGGGUCCGUAGGCGGUCUUGUAAGUCAGUGGUGAAAGCCCAUCGCUCAACGGUGGAACGGCCAUUGAUACUGCAGGACUUGAAUUAUUGGGAAGUAACUAGAAUAUGUAGUGUAGCGGUGAAAUGUUUAGAGAUUACAUGGAAUACCAAUUGCGAAGGCAGGUUACUACCAAUUGAUUGACGCUGAUGGACGAAAGCGUGGGUAGCGAACAGGAUUAGAUACCCCCGUAGUCCCUGUCUCUUAUAC
rnacentral:rRNA from 1 species